rnacentral:tRNA from 1 species
AUGACAUAGUUUAAAAAUUGAAAAUUCCUAUUUUACACGUAGGGGAUGGAAAAUUUCCUGUUAUU